GCGAUUCUGGACGCGGGAUUCGUCUGGACUCGGCGAGUCCAGGAUAUGGACUCGGCGAGUCCUCGCUGUUUAAUGAAACCCUAAUUUCUCGGGUUUGGGACCUAUUUAAAGGGCCUUAUGGCCGUCAUUUGUACCCAACAGUCCAUAGAGAGAAACCCUAGAGUGCUUUAGCGAUUUGAGAGAGAAAGGAAGCAUUUCUUGACCUUUGUAUGUUGUUUAGCAAAGAAGAGGGAGGUUCUAGCCAAGAGGAGGCAAAGGAGGUUGCUAUUCUGUGGAUUUGAAGCUUAGAUCUUCAAUCUAAAGGGAGAUUGUAGCUCGGAGGAUCGAGCACGAGUGAUUCCGGGAUUUGAUAGCUAUCGAUAUUCGCGAGGUGAGUCUUCUCACUAUACUGUACCCGGAAGGGUUUGAUUGUGUGACCGGAAGGUCGGAUAUGAUAUGAGACAUAUGUGCUAAAUGUGAUAUGUAAUUGUUAUAUGUGCUAUGUAUGAUAUGCUUAAUGUGGGCCGGAAGACAUUAUGUUAUGGGCCGGAAGGCGAUUAUAUUAUGGGCCGGAAGGCGUUGUAAUGUGGACCGAAGGGUUGGCUGGGUAGGACCGGAAGGUUUACCCAGCAGGGACGGAAGUCCCCUGAGACACAUGGACCGGAAGGUCAGGGCCUGGAAAGGCGUAUGUGCGUAAGUUGUAUUUUGGGGAACUCACUAAGCAAUUAUGCUUACAGUUGUUGUGUAUGUGUUUCAGGUACUAGCGAGGACCGUGGGAAGGCGCCGGCGUGAUCUGUACACACUGAUAGAUGAUUUAUGAUCUUGGGAUUCAUAUGAUUUGUAUUAUGAUAUGACACGUUGAAUGUUUAUGCCUUGUUUUGGAUAAAAACACUUUAUUUUGAAAUGAAAAAUUUGUUUAAAAA